GACGAACGCUGGCGGCGUGCUUAACACAUGCAAGUCGAACGGAAAGGCCCUGCUUUUUUGGUGUGCUCGAGUGGCGAACGGGUGAGUAACACGUGAGUAACCUGCCCUUUACUUUGGGAUAACUUCAGGAAACUGGGGCUAAUACCGGAUAGGAGCUCCUGCUGCAUGGUGGGGGUUGGAAAGUUUCGGCGGUUGGGGAUGGACUCGCGGCUUAUCAGCUUGUUGGUGGGGUGUUGGCUUACCAAGGCUUUGACGGGUAGCCGGCCUGAGAGGGUGACCGGCGACAUUGGGACUGAGAUACGGACCAGACUCCUACGGGAGGCAGCAGUGGGGAAUAUUGCACAAUGGGCGGAAGCCUGAUGCAGCAACGCCGCGUGCGGGAUGACGGCCUUCGGGUUGUAAACCGCUUUCGCCUGUGACGAAGCGUGAGUGACGGUAAUGGGUAAAGAAGCACCGGCUAACUACGUG
rnacentral:rRNA from 1 species